UACGUAGGGUGCGAGCGUUGUCCGGAAUUACUGGGCGUAAAGAGCUCGUAGGCGGUUUGUCACGUUGUUCGUGAAAACUCACAGCUCAACUGUGAGCGUGCGGGCGAUACGGGCAGACUAGAGUACUGUAGGGGAGACUGGAAUUCCUGGUGUAGCGGUGGAAUGCGCAGAUAUCAGGAGGAACACCGGUGGCGAAGGCGGGUCUCUGGGCAGUAACUGACGCUGAGGAGCGAAAGCGUGGGGAGCGAACAGG
rnacentral:rRNA from 1 species